AGUGAACGCUGGCGGUAGGCCUAACACAUGCAAGUCGAACGGCAGCACAGUAAGAGCUUGCUCUUACGGGUGGCGAGUGGCGGACGGGUGAGGAAUACCUCGGAAUCUACUUUUUCGUGGGGGAUAACGUAGGGGAACUUACCCUAAUACCGCAUACGACCUACGUGUGAAAGCAGGGGAUCUUCGGACCUUGCGCGAUCGAAUGAGCCGAUGUCGGAUUAGCUAGUUGGCGGGGUAAAGGCCCACCAAGGCGAAGAUCCGUAGCUGGUCUGAGCGGAUGAUCAGGCACACAGGAACUGAGGAAAGGGCCAGGAUCCUAAGGGAGGCAGCAGGUGGGAAUAUUGGGCAAUGGGGGAAAGCCUUAUCCAGCCAUGCCGGGGGUGGGAAGAAGGGCUUCGGAUUUGAAAGCCCUUUUUGUUGGGAAAAAAAACAGGAAGUUAAAACCCCCCUUUUUUGGCGGUAACAAAAAAAAAAACCCCGGCUAACUUCGUG
rnacentral:rRNA from 1 species